AUUGAACGCUGGCGGCAGGCUUAACACAUGCAAGUCGAGCGGGGUGAUGGUGCUUGCACUAUCACUUAGCGGCGGACGGGUGAGUAAUGCUUAGGAAUCUGCCUAUUAGUGGGGGACAACAUCUCGAAAGGGAUGCUAAUACCGCAUACGUCCUACGGGAGAAAGCAGGGGAUCACUUGUGACCUUGCGCUAAUAGAUGAGCCUAAGUCGGAUUAGCCAGUUGGUGGAGUAAAGGCCUACCAAGGCGACGAUCUGUAGCGGGUCUGAGAGGAUGAUCCGCCACACUGGGACUGAGACACGGCCCAGACUCCGACGGGGGGCAGCAGUGGGGAAUAUUGGACAAUGGGGGGAACCCUGAUCCAGCCAUGCCGCGUGUGUGAAGAAGGCCUUAUGGUUGUAAAGCACUUUAAGCGAGGAGGAGGCUCUUUUGGUUAAUACCCAAGAUGAGUGGACGUUACUCGCAGAAUAAGCACCGGCUAACUCUGAGCCAGCAGCCGCAGUAA
rnacentral:rRNA from 1 species